AACAUUCUAGAUGGUAUAUGCUUGAAAUUUUUUAUUUCUAUUAUACAUCCUUAAUGAUGGUGCUCUUUAUUUACCUUCUCGAUUUGCGUAUUGGGAAUCUAAUAUUUCUCUGUUUUGUUGCUCCUCAUUUUGUUUGUAGGCUACAAAGGAACAUAAUAAAAUCUGAUAUUCUAACAUUUCUCUAAUAGGUUCAACAUUAGGAUAAAAAUAUACCUUUUGAUUCUGGUCUACCAGUAAUUCUGUUAAGAAAGGAAUCUCCUAUAGGAAAUCUUCUUUUAAACCUUGCAAGUACUAUGAAUAGAGAAGUCAGAGUAAAG
rnacentral:lncRNA from 1 species